UACAGAGGGGGCAAGCGUUGUUCGGAAUUACUGGGCGUAAAGGGCGCGUAGGCGGCCUUCUAAGUCGAACGUGAAAUCCCCGGGCUCAACCUGGGAAUUGCAUCUGUGGACUGUAUAGCUAGAGUACGGUAGAGGGGGAUGGAAUUCCGCGUGUAGCAGUGAAAUGCGUAGAUAUGCGGAGGAACACCGAUGGCGAAGGCAAUCCCCUGGACCUGUACUGGACGCUCAUG
rnacentral:rRNA from 1 species